GACGAACGCUGGCGGCGUGCUUAACACAUGCAAGUCGAGCGGUAAGGCCCUUUCGGGGGUACACGGAGCGGCGAACGGGUGAGUAACACGUGGGUGACCUGCCCUCAGCUCUGGGAUAAGCCGUGGGAAACCGGGUCUAAUACUGGAUAUGACUCCAUGACGCAUGUUGUGGGGUGGAAAGCCUUGUGCGGCUGAGGAUGGGCCCGCGGCCUAUCAGCUUGUUGGUGGGGUGANGGCCUACCAAGGCGACGACGGGUAGCCGGCCUGAGAGGGCGACCGGCCACACUGGGACUGAGACACGGGCCCAGACUCCUACGGGAGGCAG
rnacentral:rRNA from 1 species